AUGUCAGCGGUUCGAGUCCGCUUAUAUCCAGCUCGUGAACUUAGAGGAUACUAUGACAGCGAUAGCACCGAAUUUUGCCAAUUCGGUAAUUCGAUCUAUGAUUUCACAUUCAUGGACGUUGAUAAGAUCCUUCCAUUCAGUAGCACCUUUGGAUGGCAUAGCCUUAACGUUAAUGUUGAGGUUCAAAAGAGGAAAUGCUUGUGGUGGAUACCUAGGCCAGAGACGAGGAAGGGCGUAGCAAGCGACGAAAUGCUUCGGGGAAUUGAAAAUAAGCAUAGAUUCGAAGAUUCCCGAAUAGGUCAACCUUUUAAACUGCUUGUUCAAUCCAUGAGCAGGCAAGAGACAACCUCGUGAGCUGAAACAUCUUAA
rnacentral:rRNA from 1 species